GAAAUGCGAUAAGUAAUGUGAAUUGCAGAAUUCAGUGAAUCAUCGAAUCUUUGAACGCACAUUGCGCCCGCCAGUAUUCUGGCGGGCAUGCCUGUUCGAGCGUCAUUUCAACCAUCAAGCCCCCGGCUUGUGUUGGGGACCUGCGGCUGCCCGCAGGCCCUGAAAAACAGUGGCGGGCUCGCUGUCACACCGAGCGUAGUAGCAUACAUUCUCGCUCAGGUCGUGCUGCGGGUUCCGGCCGUUAAACGACCUUCAUAACCCAAGGUUGACCUCGGAUCAGGUAGGAAGACCCGCUGAACUUAAGC
rnacentral:misc_RNA from 1 species